GAAUCAUGGCUCAGGAUGAACGCUAGCGACAGGCCUAACACAUGCAAGUCGAGGGGCAGCGGAGAGGUAGCAAUACCUUUGCCGGCGACCGGCGCACGGGUGAGUAACACGUAUGCAAUCCACCUGUAACAGGGGGAUAACCCGGAGAAAUCCGGACUAAUACCCCAUAAUAUGGGCGCUCCGCAUGGAGAGCCCAUUAAAGAGAGCAAUUUUGGUUACAGACGAGCAUGCGCUCCA
rnacentral:rRNA from 1 species